UAAUACGAACUGUGCGAACGUUAUUCGGAAUCACUGGGCUUAAAGGGUGCGUAGGCGGUUAUCUAAGUCAGGUGUGAAAUCUCUCGGCUCAACCGGGAAACUGCGCUUGAAACUGGGUGACUGGAGGGAUGCAGGGGUGUGUGGAACUUCCGGUGGAGCGGUGAAAUGUGUAGAUAUCGGAAGGAACGCCAGCAGCGAAAGCGGCACACUGGGCAUUUACUGACGCUGAGGCACGAAAGCUAGGGGAGUGAACGGGAUUAGAUACCCCGGUAAUCCUAGCCGUAAACACUGAGCACUGGAGGAGGGAGGUUUCGGCCUUCUUUCUCGUAGCGAAAGCGUUAAGUGCUCCGCCUGGGGAGUAUGGUCGCAAGGCUG
rnacentral:rRNA from 1 species